rnacentral:rRNA from 1 species
UACGUAGGGUGCAAGCGUUAAUCGGAAUUACUGGGCGUAAAGCGUGCGCAGGCGGUCCUUUAAGUCUGAUGUGAAAGCCCACGGCUCAACCGUGGAGGGUCAUUGGAAACUGGGGGACUUGAGUACAGAAGAGGAAAGCGGAAUUCCACGUGUAGCGGUGAAAUGCGUAGAGAUGUGGAGGAACACCAGUGGCGAAGGCGGCUUUCUGGUCUGUAACUGACGCUGAGGCGCGAAAGCGUGGGGAGCAAACAGG